rnacentral:rRNA from 1 species
UACGUAGGGCGCAAGCGUUGUCCGGAAUUAUUGGGCGUAAAGAGCUCGUAGGCGGCCUGUUGCGUCCGCUGUGAAAUCCCGGGGCUUAACCCCGGGCUUGCAGUGGAUACGGGCAGGCUGGAGGCAGGCAGGGGGGAACGGAAUUCCCGGUGUAGCGGUGAAAUGCGCAGAUAUCGGGAGGAACACCGGUGGCGAAGGCGGUUCUCUGGGCCUGUACUGACGCUGAGGAGCGAAAGCGUGGGGAGCGAACAGG